GUUUUUGUUUUCCAAUUGAAUUGAGUUAAUUGUUGAUUGAUUUUUUUUUACUUCUCUUAGAUUGUUACAUUAUGUUUAUGAUCAGAAUUGAGAUCAUUAGGGAAAAAGUAAACGAAUGGUAAAAGAGAAAAAGAUUAACUUUCUUUCAAAGAUGAUACCUUUACACAUACAGCGAAAGAGAGAGAGAGACAUGGAAACAUUUACACUAUUAUUACACUAAAGUAAUUCUGAUGAAAGAUAAUAUCUGAGCAAUCGUGGUUUCUAACAUGAUGGCGAACAUGAAACUCAUCCUUUUUUAUAUAUAAAUAUCAUGGAAAUAAUAAGCUCUCCCUAAGGGCAUCUUUCCCAAUCUAAAUCAUUGGUAAUCAUUGGGAGUAAAAGUGAUACUUGAGAAGAGAACCAGAUAUAUAAAGGGAGAGAACACGAGAGAGAAUGGAAAAAGGAGAUGAAGAGGAAAAGAUGAAGGAGGAAGGAAAAGCAAAGAGGCAACAAGAAGAAAAAAAAGGAAUAUCAAGGAAACAUCAACAAGGAAUAAGAGGAGAAGUGAUUUAGAAGAUUUUCUUCAUCAUCUAUUGGUGACCUUUUUCUCCAUCAUCAUCAUCUCCAUUAUCGACUUUCUUCUUGUUCACUAUCCUCUUCACAGAGGAACUUUUGUCUUCACAUUAUUAUCUUUUACUAUUCUUUUUUGUUUCUUCUACUACUCUCUCUCUCUCUCUCUCUCUCUUUUCUGCAAUUGAGUUGGAUAACAAGAAGAAGAAGAAAGAAACAAGAAGAGAAUAACAAAUAAAAAGAAUAGUAAAAGGAUGAAUAAGAAAUAGAAAAGAGAUUGUAUAUCUAUCUCUCUGGAUGUGGCAAAAACGUCUCCAGGGAGUUAAGCUAAUUAGGAACAAGAUUCCUCUGCUCUUUGGAAAAAGCUAAAACUCUCGGAUAGGAGUUACACCGAGAACAUCAUCAUAAUCAUCAUGAUUAUCUUCAUCAAAGUUACAGCAUCACUUUUUGUUAUACUGUUAACUUAUCUUCCCUUUCUCAACCAUUUUGAUCAACUAUUUACCAUGAUUCUUGAAUAGCCUUUACCAUACCUCGAUAUCGAUCCAAAUCUCUCUCUCUCUCUCUCUCUCUCUCUAUAUUCAUUUCUUUCUGUUACUAUUUCUCUUCCUCUUUUUCUUCUCCUUCUUUUGGUUCACUUCUCUCUCUCUCACUUUCUUUUCCAUCAUCAUUUUUAUAAAUUGAAUAGUAACCUACGAUAAAACCAUAGAGGUCACUUGGAAAAGGAUAUAUAUUAUCACUAUUAUUGAACCAGAUUGAGUUGUUCAUGGAAAAACUCAAUCGAUCUCUCCUAUUAAUCUUACACUUGAAAGUCUUUCACACACUAACACAUUUGAUGAUAAAAAUGAUGUAACUGUUGAUGAUGAUGAUGAUGAGUGAAGCGACUAAUCAAAAGUUUACUUCAUCCUUUUUCACCUAAAUCAUUUACUAUUUAUACAUAAUUGAGUUAUAUUUGUAUCAGUCUCUCUCUCUCUCCCUUUACCUCUCAUUAUUUACAUUAACGAAACUAUUACCUUCCUCUAACCCACACUAAUAACAUUACAAUUACUUUCUCACUUCUUCUGUUUGAUGAUGAUUACGAUGAUAAUGAUAAUGAUGAUGUUACUGUUACAUUUUAACCAUAACAUUUUCUCCCACUAUCGAUGAUAAACAACAACAUGAAGACAACAAUUAGACAAUUUAAUUCUUAAUCCCCUAAUUGAUUACCAAUCAAUAGACUGUUAUAAAUUCAUAUUGGUCACAAUUUCAUGGAGACAUUGAUGAUCAUCUUAAAAGUUAUUGAAAAUCUUUCUCGAUGAUAAUAAAACCAUAUUAUCAUAAUAAUAACAAUCAGGAAACAACAGUUAUCAUCAUGAAAAUCAGUAAAUCUUAUUCUCUCAUGGAAAAAGAAAAGAAAUAACCAAUAAUCAAAAGAGAGAAAACUAUUUACUCGAGACAAAAUAAUUCCAUCAAUUGUUAUCAUCAUCAUCAACUUGAUCCUCAUCAUCAGUCAAUUGAUCAUCCAACCCAUUGAACUUUUCCCCAUGUAACCAUGAACUUACAUAUUGAACUGAACCUUAUCCAAGUGAAAAUCUGUAGACUGACUUUAAACAUCAUCUUUUUUCAUAACCAUAAUAUUCAUAACAUCAGGUUUAUUAUUUAUCAUCUUUCACUCAUCAUCAUCAUCAUCAUCAAAAUACCUCAUCUUUCAAUCAAUAUGAUACAUGUAUCAUUAUUUAACAUCAUCAUCAUUAUCCUUGACUCAACUCUAUUUUUCCCUCCCUGAUGAUAUUAAUAGUUACAAUAAUAAUAAGAUUUUCUCUCUCUCUCUCUCUUACAGGGUAAUCGUAACAAUUUAAAGGCAACAAUUGAAACUUAAUAUUAUCCAUGGAGAGAGAUAUUUAUAUCAUCAUUUCUUGUAUUACUUACAAUGAGAAUCACUUGUUUUCACACUUUUUGACUUUCAUACUAAUCAUGAUAAUCAAUUUUAUUCAACCAGAAAAACAGUCAAAUUGAAACAUUAUCCUUAUUGAAUCAGUAAACAAGAUGAUGAAAAAGACAAGAUAAAUGAGAGAAACAAGUUACUCCUUUUUUCUCCCUCAUCUUCCUUCAACCAUCAUCAUCAUUACCCUGAAAACCUCAUCAUCAUCAUGAGAUUUUCUGAUUAUUUUCUCAAAUAAUUCUCUAUUUAUUCAAUUCUUUCCCUUUUCUCGCCUAAUAUAACUUUCUCUGUAGUAUUUUUUUCACAGAUAAACAUAUUAACCCUCUCGAAGUAUAUAUCGGGAAAAAGAAGAUCAAUGGAAAUCAUAAAUCUCUCUCUCAAUUCCAAUGUGAAUGAAUUGGAUGUUGAAUUUAGAUCAACAUGAAGAUAACAUUUGAUUUAAGAGACUAAUCACCCUCAGGGUAACUUUACCUUUUCAGAUUCAUAUUGAAUUGAAACUCAAAACACUAAUGAUUAUAAUACGAUAAUAAAGUUUUAAAUCAUGAUGACAAGGUUGAUAUGGUUUAAGGAUUUAAAUUGGAUUAAAAAAGCAAAACUCUAAUAUUUUACCUGGAAAAUGAAACAGAAUCAGUUAACUGUUACCUGGAAAAUUUAUCUUCAUGGAAACUCAAUGGAUCGAUUUUCUAUUCUCAAGUAAACUAUAAAUAUUCAGCAUCUUUUUUCAUCUUCGCUCAUCUUGAUCUGCUUUUUUUCUUGCUUCUUCUUGGCUCAUGGUCCUUUCUCAAUUCCCUAAAGUAACCACGUCAAUCGAGAUUGAAUGAAUGAAUGAUCUUGAUGGUAUCUCAACUAGAAUGAGUUCUGUCUGAAGUAGAUUGGAGAUUGUUAUUUGCUGAAAAUUGUAACAAAUUCAGGAUAAAAUUACAUGUGAUAUAUGAAGAAACUGAGAUGUAUUUUCACCAUGAUUUGAUUGAAUGGAUAUUCUGGAAAGAGAUGAAUAUGUAAAUUAGAUGAAUAAUUUAAAAUGGAAAAAUGGAAAGAGGAAGAAAAAGAUUCCAAAUUGUGAUGAUGAGAUUUACCAUUUGAUUGAGAAGAAGAUAUUAUUUACCAUGUUAAAGAAAAAGAAGAAAAAACUUCGAACAAAAAACAAUGAAAAAUUUUCGAAAAGAAUUUAUAUUCCAUGGAAUGAGAAAGGAAAAAAGCAAGAUGAAAAGUGGAAAAGAAAUCAAAUCAAAGAUGAGAAAAUGCUCAAUUUUCAUGGGAUGAAUCUUUUAAAUUGCAAGUGAAAAACUCAUAGGAAUCUAAAAUUGUGAGAUGGAAAAUAUUGUUAAACAAAGUGAUGUUAAUGUCUACAUCCUUUUAUCAUAUUAAAACUCUAACAGUUACUAUUAAGCAGAGGGUAUUGUUAGGUGUAUGUAGAGUAUAUGUUAUGCUGAUGCUGCUUAUAUUACAAUCAAGUGUGAUAAGAUAAACAGAUACACACACUCACUGACUACAUAGAAAAGCAAUGGAAGGAUAAUUUAAUCAUCAUCAGUCAAAAAAAGGAGAAAUAACAUUCAACAGAAGCCACUGAGAAUCAAGAGGAAAAUAUAUAUGAAUAUCAGACUAGGAGGAGGAAAGAGGAUGAGGAUGGAGAUGGAGAUGGAGAUGGAGAUGGAGAUGGAGAUGAGGUGAGAAGAGGGAAAAAGUAAUAAAUUGAAGAGGAGAAAAUUAUUAUUACAACAAAGAGCCAAUGGAGCUGCAAAUAUGAUGUAUGCUCACAAUUAAAAGUGGAUAUUCAAUAUUAGUAUUGUACAUUUAAAGAUUAACCAAAUGUUAAUCAGAAGGGAAAUUAUUAAUAUGAUUGAAAUGAUGAUCGUAAUUUUUUAUUUCUAAUUGUUAUAAAGUUGGUAAAAUAAUGGAUUUUUAUGAUUAUUUUGGAGGGAAAAAGUUUUGAAAACAGAAUGGA